GAUGAACGCUGGCGGCGUGCCUAAUACAUGCAAGUCGAGCGAACAGACGAGGAGCUUGCUCCUCUGACGUUAGCGGCGGACGGGUGAGUAACACGUGGAUAACCUACCUAUAAGACUGGGAUAACUUCGGGAAACCGGAGCUAAUACCGGAUAAUAUAUUGAACCGCAUGGUUCAAUAGUGAAAGACGGUUUUGCUGUCACUUAUAGAUGGAUCCGCGCCGCAUUAGCUAGUUGGUAAGGUAACGGCUUACCAAGGCAACGAUGCGUAGCCGACCUGCGAGGGGGAUCGGCCACACUGGAACUGAGACACGGUCCAGACUCCUACGGGAGGCAGCAGUAGGGAAUCUUCCGCAAUGGGCGAAAGCCUGACGGAGCAACGCCGCGUGAGUGAUGAAGGUCUUCGGAUCGUAAAACUCUGUUAUUAGGGAAGAACAAAUGUGUAAGUAACUAUGCACGUCUUGACGGUACCUAAUCAGAAAGCCACGGCUAACUACGUG
rnacentral:rRNA from 1 species